rnacentral:rRNA from 1 species
CCUACGGGAGGCAGCAGUGGGGAAUAUUGCUCAAUGGGGGAAACCCUGAUGCAGCGACGCCGCGUGAGUGAUGAAGGUUUUCGGAUUGUAAAGUCCUAUUAGUAGGGAAGAAAAUGACGGUAUCUGACUAAUAAGCCCCGGCUAACUCCGUGCCAGCAGCCGCGGUAAUACGUAGGGGGCAAGCGUUACCCGGAUUUACUGGGCGUAAAGGGCGCGUAGGCGGCAGCGCAAGUCUGGUGUGAAAUGCCAGGGCUUAACCCUGGAACUGCUUUGGAAACUGUGCUGCUAGAGUGCGGGAGAGGUAGGUGGAAUUCCUGGUGUAGCGGUAAAAUGCGUAGAUAUUAAGAGGAACACCAGUGGCGAAGGCGGCUUGCUAGACUGUAACUGACGUUGAGGCGCGAAAGCGUGGGGAGCAAACAGGAUUAGAUACCCGAGUAGUC